AGUGAACGCUGGCGGUAGGCCUAACACAUGCAAGUCGAACGGCAGCACAGUAAGAGCUUGCUCUUACGGGUGGCGAGUGGCGGGCGGGUGAGGAAUACAUCGGAAUCUACUUUUUCGUGGGGGAUAACGUAGGGAAACUUACGCUCAUACCGCAUACGACCUACGGGUGAAAGCAUGGGAUCUUCGGACCUUGCGCGAUUGAAUGAGCCGAUGUCGGAGUAGCUAGUUGGCGGGGUAAAGGCCAACCACGGCGAGGAUCCGUAGCUGGUCUGAGAGGAUGAUCAGCCACACUGGAACUGAGACACGGUCCAUACUCCUACGGGAGGCAGCAGUGGGGAAUAUUGGACAAUGGGCGCAAGCCUGAUCCAGCCAUACCGCGUGUGUGAAGAAGGCCUUCGGGUUGUAAAGCCCUUUUGUUGGGAAAGAAAAGCAGCAGGUUAAUACCCCGCUGUUCUGACGGUACCCAAAGAAUAAGCACCGGCUAACUUCGUG
rnacentral:rRNA from 1 species